UACAGUGGCGUACGGGUGAGUAACACGUGGAUGAUCUACCCUGGAGUGGGGAAUAACGCUGGGAAACCGGCGCUAAUACCGCAUAAUCCCGAGAGGGCAAAGGAGCAAUUCGCUUCAGGAGGAGUCCGCGGCCGAUUAGCUUGUUGGUAGGGUAAAAGCCUACCAAGGCAUCGAUCGGUAGCCGGCCUGAGAGGGCACACGGCCACACUGGCACUGAAACACGGGCCAG
rnacentral:rRNA from 1 species